rnacentral:rRNA from 1 species
UACGUAGGGUGCAAGCGUUGUCCGGAAUCAUUGGGCGUAAAGAGCGUGUAGGCGGCCUCGUAAGUCCGCUGUGAAAGUCCAGGGCUCAACCCUGGGAUGCCGGUGGAUACUGCGAGGCUAGAGUCCGGAAGGGGCGAGUGGAAUUCCUGGUGUAGCGGUGAAAUGCGCAGAUAUCAGGAGGAACACCAAUGGCGAAGGCGACUUACUGGACACAUAUUGACGCUGAGGUGCGAAAGCGUGGGGAGCAAACAGG